rnacentral:rRNA from 1 species
GACGAACGCUGGCGGCGUGCCUAAUACAUGCAAGUAGAACGCUGAAGAGAGGAGCUUGCUCUUCUUGGAUGAGUUGCGAACGGGUGAGUAACGCGUAGGUAACCUGCCUUGUAGCGGGGGAUAACUAUUGGAAACGAUAGCUAAUACCGCAUAACAAUGGAUGACACAUGUCAUUUAUUUGAAAGGGGCAAUUGCUCCACUACAAGAUGGACCUGCGUUGUAUUAGCUAGUAGGUGAGGUAACGGCUCACCUAGGCGACGAUACAUAGCCGACCUGAGAGGGUGAUCGGCCACACUGGGACUGAGACACGGCCCAGACGCCUACGGGAGGCAGCAGUAGGGAAUCUUCGGCAAUGGGGGCAACCCUGACCGAGCAACGCCGCGGGAGGGAAGAAGGUUUUCGGAUCGUAAAGCUCUGUUGUAAGUCAAGAACGAGUGUGAGAGUGGAAAGUUCACACUGUGACGGUAGCUUACCAGAAAGGGACGGCUAACUACGUG